rnacentral:tRNA from 1 species
CAAGGGGUAGUUUAAUAAAAAUAUUAAUUUUGGAGAUUAAUGAUGAAAGGUUUUUCUUCCUUGA